AUGUCGGUGUUUAAUAUCCGUGAAAAAAGUUUGCAAAGGGAUGAUGAUGCCAUAUCAAGAUACUGGUGGGGUGAGGACGAUAAUCAUAAGAGGAUACAUUGGGCGGCAUGGUGGAAACUUUGUAUUCCGAAGAACAAAGGGGGAAUGGGAUUUAGGGAUCUACAUAGCUUCAAUCUUGCUUUGCUUGCCAAGCAAGUAUGGAGACUGUUGGGGAAUCCGGAUUCCUUGUGUGCGCAGGUCCUAAGAUCAAAAUAUUACCCGAAUGGGAAACUUCUGGAAGCAAAGAUGAAGAGUCGAUGUUCCUUCACAUGGCAGAGUAUAUGUGCCGGUAUUCAUACUUUC
rnacentral:rRNA from 1 species